rnacentral:misc_RNA from 1 species
CUCUCUCUGUACCGCUCUCUUCUACGCACAGCUCGCCAAUUCUGCGACUACAGCAUCAGAGAAUACACGAAGCGCCGCGCUGUCGACGCCUUUCGUGAAAACCGGAACCUAUCAGACCCUUCUUCAAUCUCCGCCGCUUUCUCCGAUGGAAAGGAUCAGCUCGACGUCGCUCAACGACAGGCCAUCGUCUACUUUUUCUACGCCCCCAAAACCAAGAGCGUCAUGGAGACCAGUUCCUAUUCUUCUUCUUCUUGAAAGAAAAAGCACCUUCGUGUUCAAGAUGAUGAUGGGUAAUUUUAUUUAUCUUGAUUUUAAUUUUUAAUAGUUGAUAUUGUAUUUCGUGGCACUAGCAAGUCUAGUCUGAAAAGUGAGUUUUGAUAUCAUAAGAGAACUGAAUUCUUUCUUCUUUGGAACAAUUGAUCCGGAUUUUAAUUUACUACUUUUAGUUGCUUAUUUCAACUUAUAAUUUUGU